GUAAUCGCGAAUCAGAAUGUCGCGGUGAAUACGUUCCCGGGCCUUGUACACACCGCCCGUCACACCAUGAGAGCCGAUAACACCCGAAGCCUGUGAGCUAACCGUAAGGGGCAGCAGUCGAAGGUGGGGUUGUGAUUGGGGUGAAGUCGUAACAAGGUAGC
rnacentral:rRNA from 1 species